rnacentral:rRNA from 1 species
UUGGAGGGCAAGUCUGGUGCCAGCAGCCGCGGUAAUUCCAGCUCCAAUAGCGUAUAUUAAAGUUGUUGCAGUUAAAAAGCUCGUAGUUGAAUUUCGGGAUCGAAUUGUUGGUCGUGCUUCGGUACGCACUGGCAUUAUCGGUUCCUACCUUCUGAAGAACCGCGAUGUCAUUAAUUUGGUGUCGUGGGGAAUCAGGACUGUUACUUUGAAAAAAUUAGAGUGUUUAAAGCAGGCUUACGCUUGAAUACAUUAGCAUGGAAUAAUGAAAUAGGACGUUCGAUCCUAUUUUGUUGGUUUCUAGGAUUGACGUAAUGAUUAAUAGGGAUAGUUGGGGGCAUUAGUAUUCAAUUGUCAGAGGUGAAAUUCUUGGAUUUAUUGAAGACUAACUACUGCGAAAGCAUUUGCCAAGGAUGUUUUCAUUAAUCAAGAACGAAAGUUAGGGGAUCGAAGACGAUCAGAUACCGUCGUAGUCUUAACCAUAAACUAUGCCGACUAGGGAUCGGAUGAUGUUAAUUUUUUAAUGACUCAUUCGGCGCCUUACGGGAAAC